UGGGGAAUAUUGGACAAUGGGCGAAAGCCUGAUCCAGCCAUGCCGCGUGUGUGAAGAAGGCCUUUUGGUUGUAAAGCACUUUAAGUGGGGAGGAAAAGCUUAUGGUUAAUACCCAUAAGCCCUGACGUUACCCACAGAAUAAGCACCGGCUAACUCUGUGCCAGCAGCCGCGGUAAUACAGAGGGUGCAAGCGUUAAUCGGAAUUACUGGGCGUAAAGCGCGCGUAGGUGGUUAUUUAAGUCAGAUGUGAAAGCCCCGGGCUUAACCUGGGAACUGCAUCUGAUACUGGAUAACUAGAGUAGGUGAGAGGGGAGUAGAAUUCCAGGUGUAGCGGUGAAAUGCGUAGAGAUCUGGAGGAAUACCGAUGGCGAAGGCAGCUCCCUGGCAUCAUACUGACACUGAGGUGCGAAAGCGUGGGUAGCAAACAGGAUUAGAUACCCUGGUAGUCCACGCCGUAAACGAUGUCUACCAGUCGUUGGGUCUUUUAAAGACUUAGUGACGCAGUUAACGCAAUAAGUAGACCGCCUGGGGGAGUACGGCCGCAAGGUUA
rnacentral:rRNA from 1 species